AUGUGGUCCUGCUCCUGCAAUAGUGGUCUUCUAUCCCGUGUUGUAAAUUUAUUAAACCAUAUAAUUUGGAAUAGUCUCCAGUCAAUGAAGAGAUUCACACACCUACUUCUCGUUUCACGCGCUGCCUUAUUACUCUUUCAGUCUUAUUAUAAAUCUCAUCAUAACACAAAGUCCUCUCUUGACUUCUCUCUCUCUCUCUCUCACAAUUCUUCUCCAUCUUUUCUAUUUCCUCUUCUCAACCUUGUUCCUCUGCUUCAUUUCAUCCAAUUUCUAAAGGUUUGUUUGUUUCACAAAAUUUACACUUUCUUUUUAUGUUAUUUUCUUAACGUUUUCUUAGCCUUAUGA